UACGGAGGGGGUUAGCGUUGUUCGGAAUUACUGGGCGUAAAGCGCACGUAGGCGGAUUGGAAAGUUGGGGGUGAAAUCCCGGGGCUCAACCCCGGAACUGCCUCCAAAACUAACUCACUAGAGUACGAUAGAGGGAGGUAGAAUUCAUAGUGUAGCGGUGGAAUGCGUAGAUAUUAUGAAGAAUACCAGUGGCGAAGGCGGCUCACUGGCUCGAUACUGACGCUGAGGUGCGAAAGUGUGGGGAGCAAACAGG
rnacentral:rRNA from 1 species